AAGACUAUAGACCUGCGGAGUACCUGCGGAAGGAUCAUUACAUGAAUACAGGCUUCGGCCUUCAUUCUACCCUUGCUUAUUGCACCUUUGUUGUUCCCUCGGCGGGUCUCCUGCCGAUGGGUACCCACAAACCCUUUGCAUUAGAAUCUAAACGUCUGAUACAAAAACAAAUAAUCACAACUUUCAACAACGGAUCUCU
rnacentral:misc_RNA from 1 species